ACUCCUACGGGAGGCAGCAGUGGGGAAUAUUGCACAAUGGGCGCAAGCCUGAUGCAGCGACGCCGCGUGGGGGAUGAAGGCCUUCGGGUUGUAAACUCCUUUCGCUAGGGACGAAGCUUUUUUGUGACGGUACCUAGAUAAGAAGCACCGGCUAACUACGUGCCAGCAGCCGCGGUAAUACGUAGGGUGCGAGCGUUGUCCGGAAUUACUGGGCGUAAAGGGCUCGUAGGUGGUUUGUCGCGUCGUCUGUGAAAUUCUGGGGCUUAACUCCGGGCGUGCAGGCGAUACGGGCAUAACUUGAGUGCUGUAGGGGUAACUGGAAUUCCUGGUGUAGCGGUGAAAUGCGCAGAUAUCAGGAGGAACACCGAUGGCGAAGGCAGGUUACUGGGCAGUUACUGACGCUGAGGAGCGAAAGCAUGGGUAGCGAACAGGAUUAGAUACCCCAGUAGUCCCA
rnacentral:rRNA from 1 species